rnacentral:rRNA from 1 species
GAUGAACGCUAGCUACAGGCUUAACACAUGCAAGUCGAGGGGCAGCGCAGUGUAGCAAUACAUGGGCGGCGACCGGCGCACGGGUGCGUAACGCGUAUCCAACCUUCCCGUUACUCAGGGAUAGCCUUCCGAAAGGGAGAUUAAUACCUGAUGGUGUUUGAAUUCCGCAUGUCAUUCAAACUAAAGAUUUAUCGGUAACGGAUGGGGAUGCGUGACAUUAGAUAGUAGGCGGGGUAACGGCCCACCUAGUCUACGAUGUCUAGGGGUUCUGAGAGGAAGGUCCCCCCANACUGGAACUGAGACACGGUCCAGACUCCUACGGGAGGCAGCAGUGAGGAAUAUUGGUCAAUGGUCGGAAGACUGAACCAGCCAAGUAGCGUGAAGGAUGAAGGUUCUAUGGAUUGUAAACUUCUUUUAUACGGGAAUAAAACCUCCCACGUGUGGGAGCUUGUAUGUACCGUAUGAAUAAGCAUCGGCUAACUCCGUG